AUGAGACUCUGCAUAGAGUUAAAAACAUUAAUUAAAAAAAAAAAAAUGCGGUUUCAUUCCCAGUCAUGGUUUUUGAAAGCCAAGUUUCAGGUAGAACUAAGUGCUUUGAUAUCAAUCCAAGUCUUUUUCUAUCCUUCUGCCAUUUCGUGACUAAAGUACUAAAACUGAACGUGGGUCUCAAAGAUGGUUAGAAAAUGAAGCAGGCUUUAUCCAUAUCAUGCUGCUUUCCCCAUAACUCUGUCCCUACUUAAGUGCACUGCCACGGCCAGGUAGUUGGAGAAAUAUGAAGUUAAUUAUCAAAAAACAUAUAUCAAGAAUUUGACACAG
rnacentral:lncRNA from 1 species